rnacentral:rRNA from 1 species
UACGUAGGGUGCGAGCGUUGUCCGGAAUUAUUGGGCGUAAAGAGCUUGUAGGCGGUUUGUCGCGUCUGCUGUGAAAUCCGGGCUCAACCCGGACUUGCAGUGGGUACGGGCAGACUAGAGUGUGGUAGGGGAGACUGGAAUUCCUGGUGUAGCGGUGAAAUGCGCAGAUAUCAGGAGGAACACCGAUGGCGAAGGCAGGUCUCUGGGCAUUAACUGACGCUGAGGAGCGAAAGCAUGGGGAGCGAACAGG